GUCCACGCCCUAAACGAUGUCUACUAGUUGUUGGGGUAGCAAUACCUCAGUGACGCAGCUAACGCGUGAAGUAGACCGCCUGGGGAGUACGGUCGCAAGAUUAAAACUCAAAGGAAUUGACGGGGCCCGCACAAGCGGUGGAUUAUGUGGAUUAAUUCGAUGCAACGCGAAAACCUUACCUGGCCUUGACAUGCCACUAACGAAGCAGAGAUGCAUUAGGUGCCCGAAAGGGAAAGUGGACACAGGUGCUGCAUGGCUGUCGU
rnacentral:rRNA from 1 species